AAGAUAAAAACAUGUUAUUAAUACCUUUAGCAACUGUGGAAGCUUUGUCCUUAUAUAACAAAGGUUCACAUGCUGUCCAUGAGUCUGUUGCACCAGAAGAGGGACAAGAAAAUAACUGUGGUGAAAUAACAGGAAAAACUGAGAACACUUUGGUUAAAGUGAAAACUGAGCCACCUGGUGAGUUACAAGAAGAUGAGGCAGUUUUAGGAUUCAUUGUGAGUAACAAUGAUGAUUUUAGUGUGGGAAAAGAAAAUUAAUUUGAAGAAGAGAUGCAUCAACUUAGAAGGUAGACCUCAUCCAGAGAUUUCCAUGAACAACCAUUGUGGAAGAUGAUUUCCUGGUUGUAAUGAUAUGAGAAGCUUCUGAUAGAAAGAACAGCAGUUCUCAGAACCUAAGGUCUGAAGAAGAAUUUAACAAAACAUUUUCUACAGAAAAUAACAUAAAAAGAUGUGAGAAUAUGUACACUGGAGAUGAACCAUACAGUUGUGUUUUGUGUGGUAAGAUAUUUAGUAAAGACAGAAUCUGAGGAUACAUACUGAGGAGAAACCAUAUAGUUGUUUUGUGUGUUCUAAAGAAGGUGACUGCAAGGAUAAAUUUGAAAAAAAUCAGAGGAUUCACAUUGGUGAGAGACAGUACAGUUGUGUAGCAUGUGAUAAAAAGUUUUGAGAAACACUUAACUUAAAAAUACUUCAAUAUAUACACACUUGAGAGAAACCAUAUAGCUGUUUAGUGUGUGGCAAAGAAUUUGGAACAAAUAGUCACUUAAAAAUGCAUCUGAGGAUACACACUGGUGAAAAUCCAUAUAUUUGUACAGGAAAGAACUUGCAAGAAAAAGUGACCUAAACAUCCAUUGCCUGAUACACACUGGUGAGAAACCACAUAAAUGUGAAGUACGUGACAAGGAAUUUGGAAGGAGUACUCACCUAAAAAGAGAUAAAAAAACAACAAAAAACUUGCCUAUGAAACACUAUAUACUUGUGCAGUGUGUGUGUAUGUUAGAGAACAUAGUUAUUUAAAAGUACACUUGAGAGUAUGUAAUGGAGAGAAGUGAUAUAAUUAUAUAGUGUGUGGUAAAGAAUUUAGUAGUAAAGAUCAACUUGAAAUGCAUCACAGAAUACACAUUUGGGGAGAAACUCCAUGUUUUUGGAAUGUGAAAAAGAGCUUGAAAGAAAAAAAAAAGACUUAAGUCAUCAGAAGAUUCAUACGGAUUAAAAACUAUAUAUUUGUGCAAUCUGGCAAUAUGAAUGGAACUGUAUCAUAUAGGUAUUUACUGUGUUAUAAAAAUAUGUAAAUGAAUUAAUAAAUCAUGGGAGUGAUA